rnacentral:rRNA from 1 species
UACGGAGGGUGCAAGCGUUGUCCGGAAUCACUGGGCGUAAAGAGCGUGUAGGCGGUUUGGUAGGUCCGCUGUGAAAACUCGAGGCUCAACCUCGAGACGCCGGUGGAAACCAUCAGACUAGAGUCCGGAAGAGGAGAGUGGAAUUCCUGGUGUAGCGGUGAAAUGCGCAGAUAUCAGGAAGAACACCCGUGGCUAAGGCGGCUCUCUAGUACGGUACUGACGCUGAGACGCGAAAGCGUGGGGAGCGAACAGG